rnacentral:sRNA from 1 species
UGACUGCCCAAACGAUUGCAAGCAAUU